CAUAUAUAAGAUGGUGACAGAAGACGGCUGAAGUAUCAUUCGCACAGCGUGACAUGGCGAAACUACUGGCCGUCUUCCUGGUGAUGCUCAUUGCUGCCCUGGUCUGCGAACAGGCUCUAGGUGGCGGUAUUACAUUCGUGUGACCUGUAUCCCGUGGCCAGGUCACCUGCUGCUGAAGACUUGACCCGGAGAAGUUUUCUGCUGCCCCAUAAAUGUUGAAAUUUCAAUGUAUAUGCAACAAGUUUACUCAAAAUGGCUACGAAUAAAGCUUGGAAUACUCAA